rnacentral:lncRNA from 1 species
GUUGAUGCGGGAUCGGUGAGCCGAGGAGUCGAAAGAAAGAUUUCUUAGACUCUCAAGAUCUGGCAGUAGUGCUCUUUUAUUUAGAAAAUAGUGUGGAAUAGCAUGGGGACAGGACCCAUGGGCAGUCAGAGCUUCUGCUGCCGCCGCUUCUGCUGCCCCCGCUGGCAUGGGGACAGAGCCCAUGGGCAGGCAGAGCCGCUGCUGCUGCCCCCGCUGGCAUGGGGACAGGACCCAUGGGCAGGCAGAGCUGGUGCGUGGGGACAGGACCCACGGGCAGUCAGAGCUCCUGCUGCUGCCCCGAGUUGAGGGUUAGGGCUAAAUUUAAGGCAUAGGUAUAUGAUUCAUCUCUUUACAAGACAAAGGAAAGAACAUGAAAAAAAGUUAAAAUGGUAUCAGUGCGGGUGGGGUCUGGUCAUUGGGUGAUCCCAUGACUUUUAGACAAGAAUCAAAUCGGAUUAAGUAAAGGUUAGAAAGGUUAGACACCACCACCCUAAACCAGUUACAUGAGAUUGCCAGACAGCAACCAACUUAAGUUCUUGCCUCUGGCAUUGACCAAGAGCCUCUAGAGAUAAGACCAUCCCCCCCUCUUCCUGGCACAGAGAGGGAGGCAUCUUCACAGAUAGAGGAGUGAAAUUUGUUUGCCCCUUUGUUGGGAAACAUUUACAUUUCUAAGGGAAACCUCUAUCUGUGAAGAUGCCUCCCUCUCUGUGCCAGGAAGAAGGGGGGAUGGUCUUAUCUCUAGAAGCUCUUAAUCAAUGCCAGAGGCAAGAACUUAAGUUGGUUGCUGUCUGGCAAUCUCAUGUAACUGGUUUAGGGUGGUGGCGUCUAACCUUUCUAACCUUUACUUAAUCCGAUUUGAUUCUUGUCUAAAAGUCAUGGGAUCACCCAAUGACCAGACCCCACCUGCACUGAUACCAUUUUAACUUUUUUUCAUGUUCUUUCCUUUGUCUUGUAAAGAGAUGAAUCAUGUACCUAUGCCUUA